UACGAAGGGGGGCUAGCGUUGCUCGGAAUCACUGGGCGUAAAGGGUGCGUAGGCGGGUCUUUAAGUCAGGGGUGAAAUCCUGGAGCUCAACUCCAGAACUGCCUUUGAUACUGAGGAUCUUGAGUUCGGGAGAGGUGAGUGGAACUGCGAGUGUAGAGGUGAAAUUCGUAGAUAUUCGCAAGAACACCAGUGGCGAAGGCGGCUCACUGGCCCGAUACUGACGCUGAGGCACGAAAGCGUGGGGAAGCAAACAGGG
rnacentral:rRNA from 1 species